rnacentral:rRNA from 1 species
UACAGAGGGUGCUAGCGUUGUUCGGAAUCAUUGGGCGUAAAGGGCGUGUAGGCGGUUUGUUAAGUCAUGUGUGAAAUCCCUCGGCUCAACCGGGGAACGACGCAUGAAACUGGCAAGCUAGAGUACCAAAGAGGGGGGUGGAAUUCCCGGUGUAGCGGUGAAAUGCGUAGAUAUCUGGAGGAACACCGGUGGCGAAGGCGGCAUCCUGGACCGGCAUUGACGCUGAGGAGCGAAAGCCAGGGGAGCAAACGGG